GCCCCGUUGGUGUAGCCCGGUCCAUCAUCCCGGCCUUUCGAGCCGGUCACGCGGGUUCGAAUCCCGCACGGGGCA
rnacentral:tRNA from 2 species